AUUGUCAUUUCCAAAGCAUGACACAUUGAAAUAUUGGAGACUAAGAAGCAAAGUCAACAGACAUAUGUCAAUACAAUAUGUUAAUCAAUCAGAGUGAUCUUGAUCAUUUUUCGAUUUGUUGGGAGACAAAUGGUGUCACCAAAGAAAGUCGCCGAUCGUGUUCACAUAAACUCGUAGUGAUCGUAGUCUGCCGGCGACAGUCUGUGUUGAUCGGAACGUUGAACCAAGUUCAACUUUCCCGUCCCGUCUCCGAUCGUUCUUGGACAGUCUGCGUUUGUGUUCAGUCACAUUGUCAUUGUUCACAUAACAAUGCGGCACAUGUCUGCGACUGCUUAAUAGGCUUUACUGUGAGUAUUAUCAAACUGGAAGAACUCUGAGAUGCGAUAAUUAAUCAGACAAAUUCUGCAUGCUUAUUGCUCAAAUCCGACUCUGUCACUCAGUAUGAACGAGGGAUCAAUUACUGUUUUUAUUUUAUUUGUUUUCUAGACUACAUGUACAGAUGCUCACAACAAAAGGAAUCUUUAAAAUUAUGGUGAAAAGCUGAUGCAUUUGGAUAGACUAGUUUUGUAAAAAGAAGAUUUUAAAAUAAACGAAAUUUAAUCAAUCAUUUAAAGUUGUUAAUUAUAGCAAAUCUGGAAAUAUUUUAUAAUGCAUGCAAUAUAAUGUAACUCAUUGAGCUCUCACUGAGUUGCAGGCUUACAGAACUUGCGAAAUAAAGCCAGAAAUUUCCUAGGGACCCUAACUGACCAUAACCCUUGAUGUUUCUGAACUUGCUAGUCAUUUGGCAAAUUUACUUUUUAUUUAAUGCAAAUUUUUUUAUGCACGUCUUUAAAAAGACGGAGUCAAGACUGUUCUGCGCAUGUGCUAUGUGAAAACCCUCUGAAGGCUCUGUUGUAAAGAAUAUCCAAAUUUCGCG
rnacentral:lncRNA from 1 species